UCCGUAGGUGAACCUGCGGAAGGAUCAUUAACAAAACAUGAACUUAUAACUAACUGACUAGUGUUUAGGCACUAUGAACUAUAUACUUAAACUAUAAAACUCUAAAUGGUUGAUAAAACUAAAUUUUCAACGAUGGAUGUCUUGGCUCCCAUAACGAUGAAGAACGCAGCGAAAAUGCGAUAUGCAAUGUGAAUUGCAGAACCAUGAAUCAUCAGAUCUUUGAACGCAUCUGGCGCCGAUACACUCGGCAUACUUGUUUCAGUGUGCUCAAACAACUAUUCACUACUAAAAUGUGAGAGAAGUUCUCUCAUCAAGAUAGUGCUCCUUGCAGCAGUCACAUGUAUUUGUGAGCUUCAAUCGAGAUUAAAGACUUAAUGUCACCUGAAAUCAAGUAAGAUAACCCGCUGGACUUAA
rnacentral:rRNA from 1 species